CUUGAACUCGACUAUUUUGCAGGGCAAUUUUUAGACUCCAUGGAGCAAUCCAGUACUGUCUGAUGUUUCUUCAAGAAAAUUCUGGUCUGCUGAGAGUUUCCAUUAAAAAAGGAGAACUCAGUUCAGGAGGAAGGUCUGUGACAGACACGAGCUGGAGCCAUCUGUAUUUGAAACGGUGACAAAAUAUUUGAAAUCACAGUGAGUCUUUUUAAACAUGACAGCACUGCAAUAAAUGCAGACUAAAUUCAUUUCAGGUUCAUGAAACUGGCCUUUCUUCAUUUUAGCCCUUCUCACAGGUCUUUGUUGCUGUGCAGUCUUCACCUAACAUGGGCAAUAAAUCACAGAGCUGAUUGUGAUGGAGAUGCGACCAGCACAGUGAACAUUAACUGAGGCUUUAAUACCUGUUUCAUUUCCAUCUUGAGCUCUGACUCUUGUCAUAUUUGAGUUUUAGUAGCUGUUUAGUGUUUUAUGGAGUUCUCUCAGUGGUUUCAUACUUCCUCCCUUCAGUUUUUUUUUUAUUUUUAUUUUUUAUCAUUUUCUCAUUUCCUGUUUUACUUUGAAAGUUAGUUGACUCUCGGGCCUUGCUGUGAGUUUACUUACCCCCUCCUUGUCCUGGUGUGCAUUUGGGUUUGUUCUUAAACUGAAUCAUAUAAAACACAGAUCCCAUUCAGGAACACUGUAAUCCAAGUUAUUUUGUAGCGUUGCAUGCAGGUCAUUGGAAGUUAUGGAAGCAAAAGAAAAAGCUAGACAAAAUAUGGUAUCACAUGUCCACAUGUGCUCAGACUGGAUCCUGGACUUCCUUAAACUAUGAAAUUAGAGAAGAAAGGAACAAAAACUGUGAUUAAGAUAUAAUGCUCUUGGUAAACGUGAUCGAAUUAAGUAAGAAUAGUCUAAAUCGUGAAUGUGUGUACACAUUUUAUAUUAUAUAUUUCAUAUUAUAUAUUACAUUUACAGGGAGUGCAGAAUUAUUAGGCAAAUGAGUAUUUUGUCCACAUCAUCCUCUUCAUGCAUGUUGUCUUACUCCAAGCUGUAUAGGCUCGAAAGCCUACUACCAAUUAAGCAUAUUAGGUGAUGUGCAUCUCUGUAAUGAUGAGAAGGGGUGUGGUCUAAUGACAUCAACACCCUAUAUCAGGUGUGCAUAAUUAUUAGGCAACGUCCUUUCCUUUGGCAAAAUGGGU
ensembl:lncRNA